UCGCUUUUUUUUUUUUUUUUUUUUCUUUCCUUUCUUUCUUUCUUCCUUCCUUCGUCUCUGUUUCAGUAGAUUCUUUGGCUACAAAUAGCAGCGAGGUCGCUACCCGGGCUCCCCCUACUCUGCAGCUCCCCCACCUCCCGAGGGAAGAAAAAAAAAAAAAAAAAAAAAGGGGGGGGGGCGCAAACAAAAGCGAGGGGAGAGGGCGCGCGGCGGGCAGAAAUCUCCGGAAGCCUUCCCCGGGAGCCCCGGCACCAGCACCCCCUGCCUGCCCCUCACCCCUCCGGGGGAGCAAGGGGGCGAGCGGGGCGGUGAAUGCGCUGGUGGAGACGGCGACUCUCCGUGUUUUGCCGAGCCGAGGGAAGGCUGGGGGUUGCCGGAUCGAGGAGGUGCGUCAAGAGGGUUGUUGCAAGGCUGUGUUUGCUCGUGCGGCCACGGCUGCACGCGGCGGGUUCCUGAUUUUCUCUUUGAGGAAGGGUCAGAUUUCCCGCCCGGCUUGGAGGUGCCGCGGAGCUGAAAAGAAGUCCUUGCUUUCCUUGUCCUGUCCCAUCACUCCCCUGUAAAGAGGAAACAGCGCACAGGACACUGGUGGAAACUAACAGGAUUUCAAUGAGAAGCUUUUUGGGAAGAACCUCACUGUUGACAUGUAGGCAUCUUCAGAAGCCCAGAGCACAUUCCCUAUGUGCCUUGGUUCCUCCUGCGCAGAAGGCGUGUGAGGUGUCAGGAUGCGCUUGGUGAAAGUGCUGGUCAGCCAGUGUGGUGGCAGGAGCCCAUCAGGAUGGAUGCCCCACAAGUCACCAGGCAGAUGGCCACAUGCGUGAAAUGGCCGGCAGGUGCAGGGUUUGCCAGGCUGGUGCUUCCCAUCUUCAUGGGUACUUCAUGGGUAUUUACUGCAAACAAACUUUUCAGUCCAGCUGUGGAGCCACUGAUUCUGAUACCAGCCAUGGUGAUCGCAACAAAGUUUGUUGCAGAUCAUAGCUACAUUUCUGCAGAGGGGAGGGAUUUGGACAUUUUCUUUCAUAUUAUGCUAUUUUACAUAUGCUGUAAGGUAGGGCUGCCAGUGUGAAGUCUGUUUCUGACAAAAUUGAAGAUAAACUUUGCUCUCUCCCUGUUCUAUAAAUCACUGUCUUUUGACACUGCCAGUUACACCAUGAACAAUAGUUGCCCGAAUGAUCUUAACACUUAAAGGAGCACUAGUCCUUUCGAAAUAGUAUCUUUCAAAAUGCCAAAUGACUUUGUAGAAAAAUCACUUUGUAUGAAAAAGUAAACAUGAUGUUGGAUGUCUUUUUAUCUUGUCAGAAAGAACUGUUCAAUAAAAUGCUGUUUUCAACAAACAGCACCAAAACUGUAAAACAACAAAAAUAAAAAAGCUACUUUAUUGAAAUACAUGUGGUUAAAGAAAGCAAAAAUUAAAUCCUCACCUUUGCUCCCUGGACUCAACUUACUGCCAGGCUGUAUGUGCUUUGAAAUGGCCAUACUAAAUAGGUAUUUCAGAUUUUAAUGUUAUAUCCCAGCAGUUUUUAUCAGUAUACUUAGCUGUUUUAGUGCUCUUCAUGCUGUGAUCCUUGCGUGACAUUGAAGAAUGGAGCAAUAAACCAAUGCAUUUUAUAUUUUUCUUGUGGUAUCACAGUGUGGAUGUGAGUUUGGGGACUACAUUUAGCUUUCUAUUAUCUUAGAGCCAUAAGCAGGUUGUGUAUCUCUUCCUUCUGCUCAGCCAGCAUCACAGUUUGCAUCAGAAAUGAAUGUGUUUCAUUUAAUGUUGGUGUUAAAAACAGAUGUAAUGAAUUUGAUAUAUAAGAUGUCCAGGUUUUGCACUGAUGCUAAAUAAUAAUAA